rnacentral:rRNA from 2 species
AAAUUGAAGAGUUUGAUCAUGGCUCAGAUUGAACGCUGGCGGCAGGCCUAACACAUGCAAGUCGAACGGUAACAGGAAGCAGCUUGCUGCUUUGCUGACGAGUGGCGGACGGGUGAGUAAUGUCUGGGAAACUGCCUGAUGGAGGGGGAUAACUACUGGAAACGGUGGCUAAUACCGCAUAACGUCGCAAGACCAAAGAGGGGGACCUUCGGGCCUCUUGCCAUCAGAUGUGCCCAGAUGGGAUUAGCUAGUUGGUGAGGUAACGGCUCACCAAGGCGACGAUCCCUAGCUGGUCUGAGAGGAUGACCAGCCACACUGGAACUGAGACACGGUCCAGACUCCUACGGGAGGCAGCAGUGGGGAAUAUUGCACAAUGGGCGCAAGCCUGAUGCAGCCAUGCCGCGUGUAUGAAGAAGGCCUUAGGGUUGUAAAGUACUUUCAGCGGGGAGGAAGGUGUUGCGGUUAAUAACCGCAGCAAUUGACGUUACCCGCAG